ACACGUAAGGAGCGAGCGUUGUUCGGAAUUAUUGGGCGUAAAGGGCAUGUAGGCGGUUUUGUAAGUCUGAUGUGAAAUCGUGCAGCUUAACUGCAUUGUUGCGUUGGAAACUGCAGAACUUGAAUCCGAGAGGGGUGUGUGGAAUUCCUAGUGUAGGGGUGAAAUCUGUUGAUAUUAGGAAGAACACCAGAGGCGAAGGCGACACACUGGCUCUGGAUUGACGCUGAGGUGCGAAAGCGUAGGUAGCGAACAGGAUUAGAUACCCUGGUAGUCUACGCCGUAAACGAUGUACACUUGGUGUCUGGUACAUGAGUACUAGGUGCCGUAGCUAACGCGUUAAGUGUACCGCCUGGGGAGUAUGCCGGCAACGGUGAA
rnacentral:rRNA from 1 species